UAGGGAAUCUUGGGCAAUGGGCGAAAGCCUGACCCAGCGAUGCCGCGUGUGCGAAGAAGGCCUUAGGGUUGUAAAGCACUUUCAGCAGUGAAGAAAGGCCGGGGCUAAUAACCCCUUGGUCAUGACGUUAGCUGCAGAAGAAGCACCGGCUAACUCCGUGCCAGCAGCCGCGGUAAUACGGAGGGUGCGAACGUUAAUCGGAAUUACUGGGCGUAAAGCGCGCGUAGGUGGUUCGGCAAGUGGGAUGUGA
rnacentral:rRNA from 1 species